rnacentral:rRNA from 1 species
AUUGAACGCUGGCGGCAGGCCUAACACAUGCAAGUCGAACGAGUGGCGGACGGGAGAGUAAUGUCUGGGACACUGCCUGGUGGAGGGGGAUCACUACUGGAAACGGUAGCUACUACCGCAUAGCAUCACAUGUGCCCAGAUGGGAUUAGCUAGGUGGUGGGGUAACGGCACACCACGGCGACGAUCCCUAGCUGGUCUGAGAGGAUGACCAGCCACACUGGAACUGAGACACGGUCCAGACUCCUACGGGAGGCAGCAGUGGGGAAUAUUGCACAAUGGGCGCAAGCCUGAUACAGCCAUGCCGCGUGUGUGAAGAAGGCCUUCGGGUUGUAAAGUACUUUCAGCGGGGAGGCGUUACCCGCAGAAGAAGCACCGGCUAACUCCGUGCCAGCAGCCGCGGUAAUAC